CCCUUAGAUGUCCUGGGCCGCACGCGCGCUACACUGAGUGUCUGAGAUACGAGUCUGCCUGGUCCGGCAAGGUCUAGGUAAUCGCUAAAAGACACAUCAUGCUUGGGAUAGAUUAUUGCAAAUAUUAAUCUUGAACGAGGAAUUCCUAGUAAGCGCAAGUCAACAGCUUGCGUUGAUUACGUCCCUGCCCUUUGUACACACCGCCCGUCGCUACUACUGAUUGGAUGUUUAAGCGGGGUUCUCGAACUGCUAGCGACUUAGCUUCGGUGAGGUCGCAGUGUGGGAAGUGAACCGAGCUUUGGUGUCUAGAGGAAGUAAAAGUCGUAACA
rnacentral:rRNA from 1 species